ACGUAUGAAAAACUGAAUCUAAGUGGAAUGCAGAUCUCGUGAUCUGCACCAUCAGAUGCUGAGAUACCUUUAAAAUCAAAAUCAUGCUUUUAAGCUUCUUUAGAACUUUCAGUAGCCUUUUUAUGGCUAUUAUGCUGAUGCAAAAAUGAUGUGAAAUAGCUUGUUGCCUCACUGUGAAGUCAAAUAGGAUCCUAUCUACCCUGGAGCAUCCUGAGUGAAGACAGAAGAAAGCAGCACAAAGGGAAAUGUGACUUUCCAACCCAGCAGUUUGGAUAUUCAAACGAGCAGGGAGAGAACUGUUUGCUUGGUUUUGCUCCCAAAACAGUCUCUAUGAUUUACACAAGUACUGAAUAAAUGCAAAAGCCAUUUCUGGAGCCUGGGUCACACAACUAUCAAGAGAGUGAAACGUCUCAGUCCAUUUUGGGCUCCCUCCUGUAAAGCUGAGACUCUUCCGACACAGCUGGACCCAUGCAUCUUGUUCCAUCAGCAUCUUCAUAGCUACCACUUGAAAGGGAGUGAGUCCCAGGUGUGUGUCUUUAAAGCCCCCAAUUCACAUGCUGACCAGUUAAACAGAUUUGCUUAUUUUUCUUUAACAGCCUAAUUCAUCAAGGAAAAGCUGCAAGGGGGGUUCUGGUCUGCCAAGCUUGAUUGGGAAAUGGGUUAACCCUGCAGCCACACCACCCAGUCAAGGCAGAAGCCAAACUGGAUUGCCCCAGGUGGGAUGAGCCUAAUUAUUCCCUUUGCAAGGUGUUUACGGAGUUACACCUCUUCCUCUUAAAAGUGGUACCCAAAACAGGAGCACCCUCCUUCCCUACCUCACCGCAGUGGUCUUUCUCCCAUAAGGCUGCUCUGAAGACGAUGCAGGCAACACGUUGGACGCCAUCCUGGUGUCUCUGAGAUGAAUGGAAAAGAACAUUGACUCACUUUGUGUGGGCACUGCGGAAGAAAGCGGUGGGUAUUUUUUCAGGGGGAGCUGAAAUAACAGGCUGGAUGGACCGGCGUAGUGAAAGACGGCCGAGACUGCUGUGCAAAAGUGGUUGGCGGUGUUGUGAUUUCUUGCUUUUUAAAAGAAACUAGGGCAGGAAAAAGAUUGUAGGUGGCU